rnacentral:misc_RNA from 1 species
GAUGAAGAAGUAGCGAAAUGCGAUAAGUAAUGUGAAUUGCAGAAUUCAGUGAAUCAUCGAAUCUUUGAACGCACAUUGCGCCCCCUGGUAUUCCGGGGGGCAUGCCUGUUCGAGCGUCAUUUCACCACUCAAGCCUCGCUUGGUAUUGGGCAACGCGGUCCGCCGCGUGCCUCAAAUCGACCGGCUGGGUCUUCUGUCCCCUAAGCGUUGUGGAAACUAUUCGCUAAAGGGUGUUCGGGAGGCUACGCCGUAAAACAACCCCAUUUCUAAGGUUGACCUCGGAUCAGGUAGGGAUACCCGCUGAACUUAAGCAUAUCAAUAAGCGGAGGA